rnacentral:rRNA from 1 species
AAAGUUCCCCUAGUAGCGGCGAGCGAAGCGGGAAGAGCUCAAAUUUAUAAUCUGGCACCUUCGGUGUCCGAGUUGUAAUCUCUAGAAGUGUUUUCCGCGUUGGACCGCACACAAGUCUGUUGGAAUACAGCGGCAUAGUGGUGAAACCCCCGUAUAUGGUGCGGACGCCCAGCGCUUUGUGAUACACUUUCAAUGAGUCGAGUUGUUUGGGAAUGCAGCUCAAAUUGGGUGGUAAAUUCCAUCUAAAGCUAAAUAUUGGCGAGAGACCGAUAGCGAACAAGUACCGUGAGGGAAAGAUGAAAAGCACUUUGGAAAGAGAGUUAACAGUACGUGAAAUUGUUGGAAGGGAAACGCUUGAAGUCAGACUUGCUUGCCGGAGCUUGCUUCGGUUUGCAGGCCAGCAUCAGUUUUCCGGGGUGGAUAAUGACGGUUUGAAGGUAGCAGUCUCGGCUGUGUUAUAGCUUUCCGUUGGAUACAUCCUGGGGGACUGAGGAACGCAGCGUGCUUUUUGCGAAAGACUCGUCUUUUUCACGCUUAGGAUGCUGGUGGAAUGGCUUUAAACGACCCGUCUAA